AGGUAAUUACUAUUGUGAACAGUAUGUCAGCAACAUCAUUGGACGCCCCAAUGGAAGGACUUUGAUCUAGCACCUUGGAUGCUGUCAAACACUUAACCCAGAUGAGUCAAGAUCUUGAGAUGUGGAGACUGGUGUUCUGAUUGCAGUCACAGGUUCAAGAUUCAGAUGAUCCGACAAUGUAUUGAAAAACUGUCUCUCAAGAAAAUUCAUAGUCAGAAUCAAUAUCUGGGUUGACUACAGGAGGAUCACCACAGGUAUCAUCAUAUUCUUCAUUUGACUCCGACAACUGCUCCUUUCUACAACAUGUCAAAUUGGCAUCCACAUGUCCAAGGUUAAUGUUUUUAUAAAAAUCCUUUACCUGUAUAGAAUGGCUUUUACAUAGAGACUUCUUGAAAUUCAAAACUCUGAGUCCUGUUAUUGAAACAGCCCGGCCGACAGCAACACCAACU